rnacentral:rRNA from 1 species
AGCAGCCGCGGUGAUACGUAGGGUGCGAGCGUUGUCCGGAUUUAUUGGGCGUAAAGAGCUUGUAGGCGGUUUGUCGCGUCGGGAGUGAAAACUUGGGGCUUAACCCUGAGCUUGCUUUUGAUACUGUCAGUCUAGAGUAUAGUUGAAGUUGGCGGAAUGUGUCAUGUAGCGGUGAAAUGCUUAGAUAUGACACAGAACACCGAUCGCGAAGGCAGCUAGCUAAGCUAUAACUGACGCUCAUGCACGAAAGCGUGGGGAUCAAACAGGAUUAGAUACCCUGGUAGUCCACGCUGUAAACGAUGAUUACUCGAUGUUGGCGAUACACAGUCAGCGUCUGAGCGAAAGCAAUAAGUAAUCCACCUGGGGAGUACGAUCGCAAGAUUGAAACUCAAAGGAAUUGACGGGGGCCCGCACAAGCGGAGGAGCAUGUGGUUUAAUUCGAUGAUACGCGAGGAACCUUACCUGGGCUCGACAUAUGCCGGAAGCGUUCAGAGAUGGGCGUGCCUUUUUGGGGUCGGUUUACAGGUGCUGCAUGGUUGUCGUCAGCUCGUGCCGUGAGGUGUCGGGUUAAGUCCCAUAACGAGCGCAACCCCUACCUUUAGUUGCCAUCAGGUCAUGCUGGGGACUCCAAAGGAACUGCCUACGCAAGUAGUGAGGAAGGCGGGGAUGACGUCAAAUCAGCACGGCCCUUACGUCCAGGGCUACACACGUGCUACAAUGGCCGAUACAGAGGGCUGCGAGCCUGUGAGGGUGAGCGAAUCUCGAAAGCCGGUCUCAGUUCGGAUCGGAGUCUGCAACCCGACUCCGUGAAGUUGGAUUCGCUAGUAAUCGCGCAUCAGCCAUGGCGCGGUGAAUACGUUCCCGGGCCUUGUACACACCGCCCGUCAAGCCAUGGAAGCUGGGGGGACCUAAAGUCGAUAACCGCAAGGAGUCGCCUAGGGUAAAACCAGUGACUGGGGCUAAGUCGUAACAAGGUAACC